rnacentral:tRNA from 3 species
GGUCCCGUAGCUCAGUUGGAUAGAGCACAGGUUUCCUAAACCUGGGGCCAUAGGUUCGAAUCCUAUCGGGAUCA